AUUGAACGCUGGCGGCAGGCCUAACACAUGCAAGUCGAACGAGUGGCGGACGGGUGAGUAAUGUCUGGGAAACUGCCUGAUGGAGGGGGAUAACUACUGGAAACGGUAGCUAAUACCGCAUACCAUCGAAUGUGCCCAGAUGGGAUUAGCUAGUAGGGGGGGUAAAGGCUCACCUAGGCGAAGAUCCCUAGCUGGUUUGAGAGGAUGACCAGCCAAACCGGAACUGUGAAACGGGCCAGACUCUUCCGGGAGGCAGACGUGGGGAAUAUUGCCCAAUGGGGGAAAGCCUGCUGCAGCCAGGCCGCGUGUAUGAAGAAGGCCUCCGGGUUGUAAAGUACUUUCAGCGGGGAGGCGUUACCCGCAGAAGAAGCACCGGCUAACUCCGUGCCAGCCGCCGCGGUAAUUC
rnacentral:rRNA from 1 species